rnacentral:lncRNA from 1 species
CAGUCACAUCUAAGCUUCUGGGCCGCCCACCAAAGACACUGUCUACUGCAGUGGUGCUGUCAGACCCAGCGGGGCAGGACGGGGCCGCCCCGUCAGUGUGGGGUGACUGACGCUCACCAGCCUUCCCUUCUGCCCUGGGGCCUGGUUGUGAAAGAAAGCAAAUGAAAAAUGGUAGCAAUAAAGAACGCUGCUCCCAGUAGACAGCGCCUCUUUGUUUCCAGGUCAGGAUGAUUCUCAGGAAUGGCUGCUCCUAGGAGCAGCAGAGAAGCGGGAAGUCUGGGAAGAAAGCCCUUCAAGCCUGGCCUGCAGCGGCUUCUCCUCCUGGGUGCCAAUGCUCUUGACAGGCCACAGAGCCCCGGUUCCAGCCAUGCAUCGUGUGACGAAAGAGGUGGUACAAGGUACAGCAAAUAAACUUACCAUGUUUCCCGUCCGACCGCAAAGCCCGACUGCCCAAUAGAGCCAUCUCAGUUCCACUGCAAUUUUUGCAGGUAAAAUUUUCAGUCAGCCACCAGAGGGUGCCCACAGAGCUCUCUGAAAAUGACCAAAUCCUGCAGAAUUAGAAAAUUUCCAGUGUAUCUAAAACUAAUACCAAAGAUAGCUCCCUCACAUAUGACUGGGAGUGAUGCACAGGCCAGCUAAGGAGCUGCAAGUUUGCAGGGGAUGAA